rnacentral:rRNA from 1 species
GAACGUAAGAUGACUGUAGGUGAAAGCUUACAUCUCUUCGGAGCAUUUUACGAGGUGCUGCAUGGUUGUCGUCAGCUCGUGCCGUGAGGUGUCGGGUUAAGUCCCAUAACGAGCGCAACCCUACCUUUAGUUGCCAUCAGGUAAUGCUGGGGACUCUAAAGGAACUGCCUACGCAAGUAGUGAGGAAGCGGGGAUGACGUCAAAUCAGCAGGCCCUUACGUCCAGGGCUACACACGUGCUACAAUGGCCGAUACAGAGGGCAGCUACCUGGUGACAGGAUGCAAAUCUCCAAAGUCGGUCUCAGUUCGGAUCGGAGUCUGCAACCCGACUCCGUGAAGUUGGAUUCGCUAGUAAUCGCGCAUCAGCCAUGGCGCGGUGAAUACGUUCCCGGGCCUU